AUUUUGUUUUGAGCCUAAUAGAUGGCGGCAGGUUAGCCAUUGAAAAAUUUCUGGUAGUUACCAUGGAAACUAUUUGUAACUAAACGAACUGUAAACUUUCAAUUUGUUUUGAAAUGAAUCAUUUCAAAUGAUUAAGUUAACAAAAUGUGUUUUGGCAAUCAAUCUCAAUCAACUGUCACUAAAAAGACCUAAAUAAAGUAAUCCUUUCACAUCUAAACCUUUAAGCUUGUUUAAUCAUUUCAGAUUGGAUGAAUUUUCUCAUAACUGAUAAUUUGGAAGCAACCUGAAACCAUUUUCAUUUAAUGGCAAUGGUGAAUGUUUUUACCUUAUGGACUGGUCUAGAAGGAGUGAAAAAAUUGUAUGAUAUGCCUUUAACUUCAUUUGGAUUAACAGAGGAAUGUCGCCUUCUCGGAAGAUUAGCCAUACUUCCAGCCUUUGAAAGGGUUCCUGAUCCAUAACCAGGUGUUGCUGAAGCAAUCAAAAUUCUGGGUGGCUCAAUGGCAUUAUCGGAAUGACGACGAUAGGGAAGAUUAGUUUGAACUCGAAGAAGGUUAAGGUCUGGUGAGGAUGCAUUCGAGUUGAUGGUUGUUGUUUUAAGGACAUCAUCCACCGAUAUCGACUGACGACGAGUUGACAAUUUUAAACAUGGAGGUCGAUGAGGAUAGCCUGUUGGUUGGUCAAGAUUAUGUUGUAAAGGAUACCUUUGGAGAAGGAAAGAAACAAUAAAAGAGUGUCAUCAAGAUGAAAUGGUGGUAAAUCCUUCAUGAUUUUACUCUUAUCGACUUAUGGUAAUGUCUGUUUACUCUGACAGGUUGAGUUAAUUGAAUUGUGUUAUAAAAAAAAGUUCAAUUGCCAAAAAUGGGACAACAAUGAAAACCAUCAAAUUGUAAACAAACCGAGAUUGUAAAGUCAAGAGAUGUAUAUUGAUUAUUCCGUGAGCUGUAUAUGUUUGUUUAACAAAACAUCAUCAUCACCAUCAACCCUGUGCGUUUACUCAUUGAAAGAUGAGUUGAAAGGCUUACUAAUGAUAAUAAUAAAUCUUUCGUCAAAUGGAUGUUGAUGUUGGAAAAAAAAGAGACUCCAAGUAAAUAAGCAGGCAAAAUAAGAGAUAAAAUUGUAAUAAACCUCUCAAAGGUAAUGAUAAAAUAAAUUAUUGAACCCUCCACCAGUUGAAUCAUCUUUUCGACUACCUUUUCUCCCUGUUAAUCAUUACCAUUGGUAAUCCUGCUAAUAUCAGCCUUUUUUAUUACCAACAAGGAGGCAAACAAAAAAAAAGAUGGCACUUCAUGUUUACAGCAAAUAUACAAAAUGACGGAAAAGAAGAAGCAAAAAAAAAAAUAUUCCUUUGGCAAAGUUAAAGAAAUACAAAGACUGAUUAGGAUUAUUAUUAAAAGAGAUGCAGACUAAUUGACAAAGAGGAUGAAGUAAACUGGAAAUGUGAUGAUGAACAGAGAAAAAGGUUGAAUCAUUUUGAUGAGUUUUCAUGUUUUUCCUCGUUAUCAAAAUUAUGAACAUCUUUUUUUUCCUGAUGAAAUUAACUUACUUUU